rnacentral:rRNA from 1 species
CCUACGGGGGGCAGCAGUGGGGAAUAUUGGACAAUGGGGGGAACCCUGAUCCAGCCAUGCCGCGUGUGUGAAGAAGGCCCUCGGGUUGUAAAGCACUUUCAGUGAGGAAGAACGCCUGGUGGUUAAUACCCAUCAGGAAAGACAUCACUCACAGAAGAAGCACCGGCUAACUCCGUGCCAGCAGCCGCGGUAAUACGGAGGGUGCGAGCGUUAAUCGGAAUUACUGGGCGUAAAGCGCGCGUAGGUGGCUUGAUAAGCCGGUUGUGAAAGCCCCGGGCUCAACCUGGGAACGGCAUCCGGAACUGUCAAGCUAGAGUGCAGGAGAGGAAGGUAGAAUUCCCGGUGUAGCGGUGAAAUGCGUAGAGAUCGGGAGGAAUACCAGUGGCGAAGGCGGCCUUCUGGACUGACACUGACACUGAGGUGCGAAAGCGUGGGUAGCAAACAGGAUUAGAUACCUUUGUAGUC